GGCCAGGUAGCUCAGUCGGUAGAGCAGGGGACUGAAAAUCCCCGUGUCGGCGGUUCGAUUCCGUCCCUGGCCACCA
rnacentral:tRNA from 12 species